rnacentral:rRNA from 1 species
CCAGACUCCUACGGGAGGCAGCAGUGGGGGAUAUUGCACAAUGGGGGAAACCCUGAUGCAGCAACGCCGCGUGAAGGAAGAAGGGUUUCGGCUCGUAAACUUCUAUCAACAGGGACGAAAGAAAUGACGGUACCUGAAUAAGAAGCCCCGGCUAACUACGUGCCAGCAGCCGCGGGAAUACGUAGGGGGCAAGCGUUAUCCGGAAUUACUGGGUGUAAAGGGUGAGUAGGCGGCAUGGUAAGCCAGAUGUGAAAGCCCUGGGCUUAACCCGAGGAUUGCAUUUGGAACUAUCAAGCUGGAGUACAGGAGAGGAAAGCGGAAUUCCUAGUGUAGCGGUGAAAUGCGUAGAUAUUAGGAAGAACACCAGUGGCGAAGGCGGCUUUCUGGACUGAAACUGACGCUGAGGCACGAAAGCGUGGGGAGCGAACAGGAUUAGAUACCCGAGUAGC